rnacentral:rRNA from 1 species
UACGAAGGGUGCAAGCGUUAAUCGGAAUUACUGGGCGUAAAGCGCGCGUAGGUGGUUCAGUAAGUUGGAAGUGAAAUCCCCGGGCUCAACCUGGGAACUGCAUCCAAAACUGCUGAGCUAGAGUACGGUAGAGGGUAGUGGAAUUUCCUGUGUAGCGGUGAAAUGCGUAGAUAUAGGAAGGAACACCAGUGGCGAAGGCGACUACCUGGACUGGUACUGACACUGAGGUGCGAAAGCGUGGGGAGCAAACAGG